CUCGCGCCCAUUUCAGACUCAAGCUCAUCGCUCUCUGUCACCACCGUCGCAAGCUCUGUCGCGCUCUGUCACCAUUGCAAGCUCGUCUUCUUGUGUCGGCCGUCAACGCUUCCUUCGUCGUGAGUUGGUCCUGGGUAGGUUGGUAAAUUAGGAACUGGGAGGAUGAAAUUGAGUUAGAUGGAGAAGUGAUUGAAUUGAGUUACCGCGGCUCGUAUCCCUGGUGGCAAUUGCUGAGAGAAAGUGUAGAGAGAAGCCCAGCCAGAGCUUCAUUGCUUUAUCUGCCCUUGUUCCUGGUGUUCACUACUAUGGCAUUCAUCUUGUUCGCUGAAGAGAAUGUUGACAUUGCUGUUGUUGAGGCUGGUUUAGGGGGUGCUCGGGAUGCAACGAAUGUUAUAUCCUCAGUUAGGUGUUUCUCUCCAUGAUCUUAUUUUCUCAAUAAUAAGAUAUCUAAACUUGAAAUGAAAUGACGUUUUUCUUGGAGACAAAACACGCUACAACUGCAUAGAUACUAAAUUGAGGACUAUUGACAAGGAUACAAUCCAAUUCUUAUGUACAUGACUAAAUGCAAUAGUAGCUACAUUG